AUUGCUUCUCAGGCUUUUGGCUAAGAUCAAGUGUAGUAUCUGUUCUUAUCAGUUUACUAUCUGAUAGGUCCUGUAUCCGAGGACAAUACAUUAAAUGGAGUUUUGGAACAGGGAGAUGGAAUAGGAGCUUGCUCCGUCCACUCCAUGCACUGACCUGGUAUUGGCAGUACCUCUGGGAAUGGUGCACCAAAA
rnacentral:snRNA from 1 species